rnacentral:rRNA from 1 species
UACUAGAGUAGCACUCGCAUAUCAAUAAGCGGAGGAAAAGAAACUAACAAGGAUUCCCCUAGUAACGGCGAGUGAAGCGGGAAGAGCUCAAAUUUGAAAUCUUAAAGGGUUUCCCUUUACGAAUUGUAGUUUAAAGAAGUGUUUUCUGUUGAGGUUUUGGUAAAAGUUCUUUGGAAUAGGACAUCAUAGAGGGUGAGAAUCCCGUAUUUGACCUUUACUUUCAACUUUGUGAUACACUUUCAAAGAGUCGGAUUGUUUGGGAAUGCAGUCCAAAAUGGGUGGUAAAUUUCAUCUAAAGCUAAAUAUUGGCGAGAGACCGAUAGCGAACAAGUACCGUGAGGGAAAGAUGAAAAGAACUUUGGAAAAGAGAGUUAAACAGUACGUGAAAUUGUCAAAAGGGAAGCGUUUGACACCAGUGUUGUUUUUCUGAAAAUCAAUUAAAGAACUGUUUAUGCUAAGCUGUUUAGACUUUAUCAGCUAAUCUGUUUAGUUUUGAGCUUUUCUUUAAUGCACUUUUCAGUUAACAAGUCAACAUCAAUUUCUUUUGCUGUAAAAAAGGCUUGAGGAAGGUGGCUUGAGAUUCGUCUUAAGUGUUUAUAGCCUCUUGCCUAUGCAGUCGGAGAGAUUGAGGUCUGCAGCGUAGAUCCUUCGGGACUAAAUGCAUUUGUGCUAAGUUAUAGCAUUUUAUAGACAACUUGUUGACUAUGAUUUGUCUUGUAGCUUACUCGCUUAUGUUAUUUUACCUACGCUUAGGAUGUUGAUAUCGCGCUCUCACUG